rnacentral:tRNA from 2 species
GCCUGGUUAGCUCAAUCGGUAGAGCGUUUGACUCUUAUAAAGGAUAUCAAAAGGUUGCGGGUUCGACCCCCGCAUCGGGCU